CCAGAAUACAUACGGGGCUUAAAGUCUUGUAAUUGGAAUGAUGGGAAUUUAAACCUCUUCCAGAGUAUCAAUUGGAGGGCAAGUCUGGUGCCAGCAGCCGCGGUAAUUCCAGCUCCAAUAGCGUAUAUUAAAAUUGUUGCAGUUAAAAAGCUCGUAGUUGAAUUUCUGCUGCAUUGCUUGUGUCCCUCUGGGGUCUGUGCAUGUGGCUUUUUUCGGACGGAGUUUCUUUGUCUGAAUGUUUACUUUGAGAAAAUUAGAGUGCUCAAAGCAGGCUUUCGCCUUGAAUAGUUUAGCAUGGAAUAAUAAAGUAGGACUUUGGUUCUAUUUUGUUGGUUUUAGGUACCAAAGUAAUGGUUAAUAGGAACGGUUGGGGGCAUUUCGAACCUGAGGUGG
rnacentral:rRNA from 1 species